UACGUAGGGUGCAAGCGUUGUCCGGAAUUAUUGGGCGUAAAGAGCUCGUAGGCGGUUUGUCGCGCCUGCUGUGAAAACUCGGGGCUUAACUCCGGGCCUGCAGUGGGUACGGGCAGACUAGAGUGCGGUAGGGGAGACUGGAAUUCCUGGUGUAGCGGUGAAAUGCGCAGAUAUCAGGAGGAACACCGGUGGCGAAGGCGGCAUCCUGGACCGACACUGACGCUGAGGAGCGGAAAGCCAGGGGAGGCAAACGGG
rnacentral:rRNA from 1 species